AUGGGGCUGAAGACAUCUGAACAUGCACACUCAAGAAACCUACAUAUUUCUGUGGUUGUGCCUGAAGCAGGCUGUGAGCCAAGGGGAAGGCAGAGGACAGAUAUGACUGUGUUCCCAAGCUUCUGUGGUGGUUUAUGGCAUCCUCCAAACUCCUCUACAAGCGUUGAACCUGACCAAGAAGACCCAAGGAGACCGUCUCUGAAAUCAAGUCCAGAUGGAGGACAUUGCACCAAGAUCCCAUCCCACCGGACUACAGGACUCCUCCCUAGAGAACCAUGGAAGCUUCAGAGUCAGAAUGGAUUGAGCCAGACUGCCUUUUCCAUACUGUGGUGAUUAGGACCUGAGUACAAGAGACUGUCUCAGAGCAUCUUUAAAGGUUGCUUGGGAUUUGAAUUUAUCAGGUUAAUGACUAGGCUUAAAAUAGUUACCCCUCCUGAUAGCAUAAACAAAUAUAACCCAUUCUAUUUUUUUCCCCAGCUUUGCUGGUGGCUCAGCGGCAGUGAGCCAAUGCCAGUGCAGAAGCUGCAAGUUCGAUCCCUGGGUUGGGGAGAUCCCCUGAAGACGGAACUACAACCCACACCAGUAUUCUUGCCUGGGAAAUCCCAUGGACAGAGAAGCCUGGCAGGCUACAGUCCAUGGGGUCGCAAAAGAGUCAGACAUGACUUAGGACUAAACAACAAUUCUUCUUCCAUCUGAUUAAGGAACGUUAAGAACAUUAAGAGUGGGGUUUGUGGAUAAGGUGUGUGUCCUUUAAUCCUGUCUACUCAUCCGCCCAGCCUUCAGUAUGGCCUGGAGUGAAUGAGUUGUGGAAAAGAAACAGCCCGGCUGGAAACACUGUACAGCUGGGCCGUUGCUGCUUGCCCACUGCACACUUGCUGGCCUCCUCAGAUGAGCAGGGCUGUGCCCACAAGAGGCUUGGAUCUAGAAGCCUCUCCGGGCUUCCACUCGUCCCUCUCAAAUCUGAAAGGGGACAGUCCUCUCAACCAGCUAAACAGGAGCAGACAAAGAGAAAGUGGAGAGGCUCCCCUGGAGGAGAGACCUUGCUAAGAACACUUUCAGCUUGGAGGCUGGGGAUGAAAGAAGAACUAUGAAGAGGAAUAGUGAGGGUGCGUGAAGCUUGUGAAAGUGAUACCUGGGUCCUGCCUUUCACUCACAGUAACUUCCAGCUGCUAGUCCGCCCUGCCCUUAGCAGAUCCUUUCCUAGGAUGUGUAUGUGAGGAGGUAGAAGGAAUAGAGACAAGGAUCAGUGUAUGGGUGCAAUUUCUCCUCUGAGUCCAGACAAACAGUGGGUUGAGAUGAGAGGACAGUUUAAAAAGCAAAAGGACAGUUACCAUCAUGAAUAUAUUUCCCUGUUUGUAGCGUCAUUUUUCCUGGGCCAAACUUGGAAAACGCUCAUCUCUCAGAGCCUGUCAUUCAGCAUAUUUCCAAGGCACUGAAUGACUGUCAUGUUUAAUCUUCAUGGAAGCUCUCUGAUAUGUGUUACUAGACCCAAUUUCUGAUCAGGAAACUGAAGCUCAGGGUAACUAAUCUGCCCAAAGCCACACACAGCAAAUAAAGCCAGCAUCUGAAUCCAGGUCUUUCUGGUUCCACUGUGUCCCAAAGGAAAAUUCUUUCCUCUGUAUUCUUUUAAAAAUAUUUUUUUUAAUAUUCUAGUAAUAACAAAUACAAUUCUAGAAAAUUUGGAAAAUAUAAAGACAUAUAAAAGAAUAAUGAAAAUAAAAAUCAGUUGUGGUCUGGCCACCUAGAAACAACUUAUUUUAAAAUUUUGGUGUUUUUCUUCUGUCUUUUUCAGUGCAUAUAGUGAUAACAGAAGUAAACAUUUGUUAAGCUCUGGCUUUGUUCUGGACAUUGUUCUUAGCUCCUUUCUGUGUCAUUUUUUUUUUCUCGCAACAAAUCAAUAACGUGUGGAGACUGAUAUUAUUCUAAUUUUACUGGUAAAGACAGUAAGCACAUAGAUGUUAAGUAACUUAUACAAGAAACAGGUGAUUUGAAACCCAGGCAGGUUGGCUCGAGAGCACAGUUUCUCAGCCCCAGCACUGAUCUGCAUCUUGGAUCAGACAGCUCUGUGUUGGGAAUGGAGCAUCGGUCCUCUUUACUGUAGUAUGUUUAAUAGCAUCCCUGGCCUCUCCCUACGAGAUAUCAACACUUUCCUCCCUGAGUUCUGAAAAUCAAGAGCGUCCCAGUAUUGCCAGAUGUCCCCUGGGAAGCAAAAGGGCCUCUGGACCACUAGUCUAAGAACGUGUGCUUUGAACCAUGUAUGGUGGUUGAGAUAACAUAGCCUCUUCAUAUUUUAAGUGCGUUUCGAGUAUUUUCUUCUACAUGUCAAGAAAGAAAUACACCUUUGAAUUUGGAUACAGGCUAUGAAACCUGCCUGGGAUGUCAGUGGCUUCAAAGAGCAUAGGUAGGAAAUUAGUUACUUCCAGAAAAAUGCUCAUUAGCGGACUUUUGUCACAGGUCUAUCUUAUCCCACCAUUGCCCAGUGUGGAGAAUGUGUUUCUCUCUCGUAACUUUUUCCGUGGUUCUGUGCACCUUUAGCCUUCAGGAAUUGGGAUUUCAAGCAUACGCUUAUGGUAUAGCAGGGCAGUGCUUAUCCAAAGUGUCAAAAUAUGUCCCAAUCAAAGGGUGUCUGUGGCAAAUAAUUUCUGGCUAAAUAAAAUACCAAAGUUUGCUGGUUAUUCAUUUUUUUUAAAACUUAUUAUAAUAAAUUUAAGGAUGUCAACAUAAUUAUUUUCUUUUCUACAUGACUACAUGACUUCUUGGCUUGAAGAUUGUGGUCUGAGUGCCAAGUGUUGCACAUAAUUCUGGAUGUGUCUGUAGGAGUAUAUCUCAUGUAUGGACUCAAUGUCACACCUACCUCCGAAGAGGAAGUUGAAAAUUGCUGGUGUUGGUGAUUUCGGUCAGUCGUUGCUUAUAUGCAGAGCGGAUUAAAAUAAGCACUGAGAAGUGAUAGCAGUAGCAUUUUGACUGAUAAAAUGUCUAAAAAUAUAUGGCACUAAGAUAUGUUAUUAACCAUGUGAAACAUAUGCAAAUAUGUGUUCAACCAUAUUUUUAAUCACAUCUGACUACAUACAUAGUUGCAUAAUUUGUCCAUGAAAAAUACAUGUGCUGCACAUUCAAAUCUAGCUUCUCCGUGAGCUUGAGGGUCGCUUUCUUGGAAAACCAUGAUUGAGGACAGUGGUGCAGAUCAAAAUUUACCCAGAGUGUUGAUGUGAACUUGAUGUGAGAAAAAGAGAAGUUUUUGGUAACUCGCUAUUGAGUGCUUAUACUCUAUUCUUAAUGAAUCCUUCUCCUUUUCAAAAGGCUGUAGAUCGCAUCCACUGUUCAGCUCUUUGCUUUGAGUGUCAUGAAUCUGGUCUUUGCCUCCCGACAUCUCUCCUAUUUCAGUCUCAUAACUAAAGAUGUUGAUACUGAAAUCAGAGAUUGGAAAUGAAAUUGAACAUUUCCCUACAAAACUUGAAUUCAACGAGCACACAGCAGCUGUUCAAACAAUGUUUGUUGUAAUAAACUGAGUUUACUGAGGUGCAAAUUCCUUGGCCAAAUUAUUUUCUUCAAAACUUGAAAGAUCCCAUUCUAGGAAGAGAGGUGGAAAAAUUGGUAGAGGACAGUUAGGGUUUCUAGCAAAUACUUCUCCUCCCUAAGAAGUCUGGUGUUACCUGGGAUGGGAAGCAAACACAGGUGGCAGGUUUUCUUAGACCAGACCGCUUCUGGUGAGGGAUCUUCUGUAGGAGAUUGUUGGCACAUCCAGGGUAACUACUGAGGAGGGCUUGGCUGACCCCUCAUUGCAAUUCCUCUCUCCUUUGGAGACCAAGACUAGUGACCUCAGACUGGACCCCAGCAUCCCUUAACAGAUUCCCUUUCCUCCCAUCAAAGUGCACUUUCAGGAGGAGCUCUCCACCAGCUGAGAGUGGUGGCUUAUAAGUUAAAUGAGUGUGUGUUGCUCAUUAUGAUGUCUGCCUGUCAGUUUUAGUACAUACAGCGAACAUGACCUUAGAAAUCAUCUGGACCAACUCAUUUUUGUUGCAGACAUGGAAACAGAGAUGCAGGGAGAUUAAUUUACUUGAAGUCCUUACACUGAUAUAAAAAUAAGAUCUGGGUCUCUUGAUUUGCUGUUCAGUGCUUAUAAUCAGAAUUAUAGCUUGGGUUUCUCAGCCUACAGUCUAACAUUAAAGGUGAAGUAGAAAGUACUACAUUCUUUAAGCUUUUGGGGGUUUCUAAUAUCCUAGAUACUGGUAGGGUGGUAGAAGGUGAUAGAAUGGCUGGUAUGAGUUUCAUUCUUCACACUCGGUUUUAUAACAAAUCUAUAUUGAAUGUUUCUGUUGCUGCUGUCACAAAUGAACACAAACUUGGCCACCACAAGUGCAGCCAUUGAUUACGUAACAGUUCUGCAGAUCAGAAGUCUG
ensembl:lincRNA